rnacentral:rRNA from 1 species
ACUGCUCAGUAACACGUGGACAACCUACCCUUAGGACCGGGAUAACCCCGGGAAACUGGGGACAAUCCCGGAUAGGUGAAGUGGCCUGGAAUGGUGCUUCACUGAAAGGCUCUUCGGAGCGCCUAAGGAUGGGUCUGCGGCCGAUUAGGUAGUUGGUAGGGUAACGGCCUACCAAGCCGAUAAUCGGUACGGGUUGUGAGAGCAAGAGCCCGGAGAUGGAACCUGAGACAAGGUUCCAGGCCCUACGGGGCGCAGUAGGCGCGAAACCUCCGCAAUGCACGCAAGUGCGACGGGGGGACCCCAAGUGCCACUCCUAACGGGGUGGCUUUUCAGGAGUGUAAAAAGCUCCUGGAAUAAGGGCUGGGCAAGACCGGUGCCAGCCGCCGCGGUAACACCGGCAGCUCGAGUGGUAGCCGCGUUUAUUGGGCCUAAAGCGUCCGUAGCCGGUCCGAUAAGUCUCUGGUGAAAGCCCACAGCUCAACUGUGGGAAUCGCUGGAGAUACUAUCGGACUUGAGGCCGGGAGAGGCUGGAGGUACUCCCAGGGUAGGGGCGAAAUCCUAUAAUCCUGGGAGGACCACCUGUGGCGAAGGCGUCCAGCUGGAACGGACCAGACGGUGAGGGACGAAAGCCAGGGGCGCGAACCGGAUUAGAUACCCGGGUAGUCCUGGCCGUAAACGAUGCGGACUUGGUGUUGGGACGGCUUUGAGCUGUCCCAGUGCCGAAGGGAAGCUGUUAAGUCCGCCGCCUGGGAAGUACGGCCGCAAGGCUGAAACUUAAAGGAAUUGGCGGGGGAGCAC